UACCAGCACCCCGAGUGGUCGGGACGAUUAUUGGGCCUAAAGCAUCCGUAGCCGGUUCUACAAGUCUCCCGUUAAAUCCACCUGCUCAACAGUUGGGCUGCGGAGGAUACUAUAGAGCUAGGAGGCGGGAGAGGCAAGCGGUACUUAGUGGGUAGGGGUAAAAUCCGUUGAUCCAUUGAAGACCACCAGUGGCGAAGGCGCCUGUCUGGCUGACAACUGACGCUGAGACUCGAAAGCAUGGGGAGCAAACAGG
rnacentral:rRNA from 1 species